GCUGGGUGUGAUGGUGCAUGCCUGUAGUCCAAGCUACUCAGGAGGCUGAGGCAGGAGGAUCACUUGAGCCCGGGAGUUUGAGGCUGCAGUGAGCUGUGAUUGCACCACUGCAUUCCAGCCUGGGCAACAGAGGGAGAGCCUGUCUCUA
rnacentral:sRNA from 1 species